UUGCCAUUUACUAUUCACCACUCACCCACUUCUGAAAAUCACAACCAACAAAAAAAUCUUAACCAACGGUGCUGCAACUUCACCGAUGAGAGUGAUGGCCACUCUCUCUCAGUUUCCGGGCUUCCCUUCCCUCCUCUCUCCCAAACUCGUCUUCUUCGACCCGAAACAACACCAGCUCAAACUCCGGCGAUGCACCGCUCAACAUCCACCGUCUCCGGUACACUUCUCGGUUCGCGCUUCUUCGUCCGUCAAGAAAUCCAGGCGGAGGAAGGUGAAGAGCAAUGAGGAGCUUUGCAAUGAACUCAUGGAGUUUAUCGCUGCGGUUGGACUUCCACAAGGUCAUGUUCCCUCCAUGAAAGAGCUCUCGCAGAACGGAAGGAAUGACCUUGCAUACAUUGUGAGACGGAGGGGAUAUAAACUUAUAAGAGAGCUUCUUGCGGACUCCAAAGAAUCAGAAUCGACGGAUGUGGAUGGUAAUGCGGAUAACUUUAUAGCUGAAAAUGAUGAUGGUCAGAAAGAUAUAGUGACAGGUCAGUAUCAAGAGGUGAAUGAUGUGGUUGAGGAAUUCUCAUCCUUGAGUGAAGUUUCAAUCUUGGAAAGUAGUUCUGAAGCUUUGGUUACUGAUCCAGUUCUGAAACACGAUGAUGGUGUUGAUGUACCUGUGGAAUCUUUGACGGAUUCACUUUUGCAGGACACAUCCUCAGGUAAUUUAGAAGGUCAUGGUGAACGGGUGGAUGGUAUGGAAGGCAAUGGUCGUGUGUCAAAUGUUCCUAUUAUUGAGAGUCAUGUCAAUAGUUCUAAGAUUGGUACAGCCUUCAACUCCGACCACCAUACACCAGUAGAAAUUUGCACCAAUUCAUCAUUGGAUGUACUAGAAGAUUUAUCCUUACCGACCACCAUUCCCAUCAAACAAAAUGAUUCUGAUAGUCCAAAUAUUGGUUGGGAUCUGAACUCUGAUGGACAACCUAGUGUGCCUAUAGAAUCUGGGACCCAUUGGUCCUCAGAUAAAAAAGCCUUACAUAGGGACCGGGAUGGGAAGGUUGACAAUAUGGCUGAUGAAGUUGCAUUGUCAACCAAAGCUUCAGUUAUGGAAGAGGAAGAUCAUCACUCUAGUUCAGAUCUUGAACUAAAUCAGAAUUCUGAUGACGAUAGCGAUGCACCAGUAAAAUAUCCAGUGAAUUUGCCCUUGGAGGAAAAGGUGACAAAAUUUAUGCAGAAUGGAGACCUGGAUGCACUUGAAGAUAACAUCUAUGGUGUAUCAAUUGAGAGUGAUGCUGAAGAAAUCAAGAGUAGCAAUAAGUUCGGGAAUGCUGAAGAAGUUCAACUAAGAACUCCUACUUCAGAGUACUCAAAACAUAUGUUUGAUGGAAGUGACGCAACAUCUGAGCAAAUUUUGUCUUCAACAGCAGUUGACCCCCCUCUUGGUGAUGCUACUUCAUUAGCUGAUUCGCGGAGUUCUCUAUCUGACAAGAAUUUGGAUGUUAAGACAAGUGAAAGGGAGGAUCAACAUGAUAUUAGUCGUCUCAAGUCCAUUCUGCAUCAGAAGGAGUUAGAAUUGUCUCGGUUGAAAGAACAGAUUGAGAAGGAACAGCAUGCCUUGUCGGUCUUGCAAGCAAACGCAGAAACAGCAAUCAGCGAAGCACAAAAGCUUAUCUGCGAAAAAGAUGCAGAGUUGCUUGCUGCUGAAGAAAACCUUUCAGGACUAGUGGAGGUUGAGAUCCAGUAUCAUGGUGAUGGUGAAAUUGUGGAGGUGACCGGUAGCUUCAAUGGUUGGCAUCAUCAGAUUAAAUUGGAUCCACAGCCACCAUCCAGUAUCAUAGACCAUGCUGGAUCAAGGAAAUCCAGGCUGUGGUCAACGAUGCUAUGGCUUUACCCAGGAGUAUAUGAGAUAAAAUUCCUCGUUGACGGCCAUUGGAGUAUUGAUCCUCAAAGAGAAACAGUUACUAGGGGUACAAUAUGUAAUAACAUUCUCAGAGUUGACGGUUAAAUGGCUUGGCAGGAAGGGCAUUUAUCUAUCUACCACAGUGGUAAAGUUAGUUACAUGCAUCUCAUUAGUUCUAUAUGUUUGGUUCAAAUACUGUAUCAGGCAUAGCGGGCUUAUCACUCAUAUGAAGACAAGGAAGCAGCUAAAUUAUCACUUGCUAGAUGUUUGGCCUAUCGUUGAGGGCAGAAGCAAAAUUGAAGUUGAAGCAGUCUUUAGCCUAUGCCAUCAGAACGAUAAAUCAAGUGGAAGACCACACACAGACGGAGAGGAGAGGAGAGGAGAGGAGGCACCCAGAAUCAUGAUCAUACUUCAUACCAUCGCCAUGUUCACUGUACAAAGUAGGAGGCUAUGAAAUCUGUUUUGUGCAAAUGUAUAUAUCUGCCAGUCACCAGAGCUUCAUUUUCCUAUUAAUUUUAGUUGCUUGAGGUCCGCAUACAUGGUUGCAGUAAUCUUGUUCUGGUGGAAUUCUGCUGAAUACAAAAAGAAUUAAAUUGUCGAGUAUUAGCAUAACUUGAACAUCCUCGUAACAGAUCCAGAUGCAGUUAUGCACAUGCUAUCAAAUAUUGAAUGUCAGUAUUUGAAAUCGAAACCUAUGAUUCAUGCA